GCGCCAUGCAUACGAUGCGCGAUCGUUUCCAGGUUCCGGUCGGUUUUUCCGAUCACACCCUCGGCAUCGAGAUCGCCCUCGCCGCCGUGGCCUUGGGGGCGUGCCUUGUGGAAAAGCACCUGACCCUCGAUCGCAGCCUGCCCGGCCCCGACCACACCGCCUCCGCCGAACCGAGUGAACUGGCGGCCAUGAUCCGCGGCAUCCGCAGUGUCGAAAGCGCCCUUGGCGACGGCAUCAAACGUCCGGCUACUGUCGAACACGAGGGGAUCCGCAUUGCCCGCAAAAGCCUCAUCGCCGCCCGCGACCUGCCUGCCGGCACGGUGCUCGCGGAAACCGAUCUCGUCAUCAUGCGCCCCGGCACCGGCCUGCCGCCCGCGGCGCUCCCCGGCCUGCUCGGCCGCCGCACGAGCAAGACCUUGAAACAAGGAACCAUCCUUACCCUGGAAGCCCUCGAAUAGGUGAGAGUCUUGAUCGAAGCCUUGGGCAGCCCGGUAUGGGGAUCCUUGCUCCCGUUCCUGCGUCCGGUGGCGACCCGCCUCGUCGGCGUGGAGAUCAAUCCGCUCGCCGCCGGCCUCUAUCUCAUCGAUCGCGGCUGUCUCGUCCCCCGCUACAGCAAUCCGGCGUGCUGGCCGCAGUUGGAGCAAUUGGUCGCCGAGGAGCAGAUCGAGUGGGUUAUUCCUUCAAUCAACGAAGGACUUACCGGCUGGGCCGCGCGCCACGAAACUCUCGCGAAGAAAGGCGCCAAUCUCCUGCUCUCUCCUGCACCGACGGUUGAAAUCUUCAGCGAUAAGUGGCGCACUUAUGAGUUCUUUACUGCGCACGGCAUUCCCACCCCGCGCACCUCUUUGCGGCAUGAUUUUGAGUUGAUCAAACCCCGCCUCGGACGCGGCAGCACCGGCAUCCGCCGCGAAGCGCCGACCGGCGCCGACCUGCACGA
rnacentral:misc_RNA from 1 species